rnacentral:rRNA from 1 species
GACGAACGCUGGCGGCGUGCCUAAUACAUGCAAGUUGAGCGCUGAAGGUUGGUACUUGUACCAACUGGAUGAGCAGCGAACGGGUUAGUAACGCGUGGUGAAUCUGCCUUUGAUCGGGGGACAACAUUUGGAAACGAAUGCUAAUACCGCAUAAAAACUUUAAACACAAGUUUUAAGUUUGAAAGAUGCAAUUGCAUCACUCAAAGAUUCUCCCGCGUUGUAUUAGCUAGUUGGUGAGGUAAAGGCUCACCAAGGCGAUGAUACAUAGCCGACCUGAGAGGGUGAUCGGACACAUUGGGACUGAGACACGGCCCAAACUCCUACGGGAGGCAGCAAUAGGGAAUCUUCGGCAAUGGACGAAAGUCUGACCGAGCAACGCCGCGUGAGUGAAGAAGGUUUUAGGAUCGUAAAACUCUGUUGGUAGAGAAGAACGUUGGUGAGAGUGGAAAGCUCAUCAAGUGACGGUAACUACCCAGAAAGGGACGGCUAACUACGUG